rnacentral:rRNA from 1 species
GGACCCGCACAAGCGGUGGAUGAUGUGGAUUAAUUCGAUGCAACGCGAAAAACCUUACCUACCCUUGACAUGUUCAGAAUCCCGGAGAGAUUUGGGAGUGCCCGAAAGGGAGCUGGAACACAGGUGCUGCAUGGCUGUCGUCAGCUCGUGUCGUGAGAUGUUGGGUUAAGUCCCGCAACGAGCGCAACCCUUGUCGUUAAUUGCCAUCAUUUAGUUGGGCACUUUAACGAGACUGCCGGUGACAAACCGGAGGAAGGUGGGGAUGACGUCAAGUCCUCAUGGCCCUUAUGGGUAGGGCUUCACACGUCAUACAAUGGUCGGUACAGAGGGUUGCCAAGCCGCGAGGUGGAGCCAAUCCCAGAAAGCCGAUCGUAGUCCGGAUUGCAGGCUGCAACUCGCCUGCAUGAAGUCGGAAUCGCUAGUAAUCGCGGAUCAGCAUGUCGCGGUGAAUACGUUCCCGGGUCUU